rnacentral:rRNA from 1 species
UUUAUGGAGAGUUUGAUCCUGGCUCAGAGUGAACGCUGGCGGCGUGCCUAAUACAUGCAAGUCGAACGAUGAAGCUUCUAGCUUGCUAGAAUGCUGAUUAGUGGCGCACGGGUGAGUAACGCAUAGGUCAUGUGCCUCUUAGUUUGGGAUAGCCAUUGGAAACGAUGAUUAAUACCAGAUACUCCCUACGGGGGAAAGAUUUAUCGCUAAGAGAUCAGCCUAUGUCCUAUCAGCUUGUUGGUAAGGUAAUGGCUUACCAAGGCUAUGACGGGUAUCCGGCCUGAGAGGGUGAACGGACACACUGGAACUGAGACACGGUCCAGACUCCUACGGGAGGCAGCAGUAGGGAAUAUUGCUCAAUGGGGGAAACCCUGAAGCAGCAACGCCGCGUGGAGGAUGAAGGUUUUAGGAUUGUAAACUCCUUUUGUUAGAGAAGAUAAUGACGGUAUCUAACGAAUAAGCACCGGCUAACUCCGUGCCAGCAGCCGCGGUAAUACGGAGGGUGCAAGCGUUACUCGGAAUCACUGGGCGUAAAGAGCGCGUAGGCGGGAUAGUCAGUCAGGUGUGAAAUCCUAUGGCUUAACCAUAGAACUGCAUUUGAAACUACUAUUCUAGAGUGUGGGAGAGGUAGGUGGAAUUCUUGGUGUAGGGGUAAAAUCCGUAGAGAUCAAGAGGAAUACUCAUUGCGAAGGCGACCUGCUGGAACAUUACUGACGCUGAUUGCGCGAAAGCGUGGGGAGCAAACAGGAUUAGAUACCCUGGUAGUCCACGCCCUAAACGAUGGAUGCUAGUUGUUGGAGGGCUUAGUCUCUCCAGUAAUGCAGCUAACGCAUUAAGCAUCCCGCCUGGGGAGUACGGUCGCAAGAUUAAAACUCAAAGGAAUAGACGGGGACCCGCACAAGCGGUGGAGCAUGUGGUUUAAUUCGAAGAUACACGAAGAACCUUACCUAGGCUUGACAUUGAGAGAAUCCGCUAGAAAUAGUGGAGUGUCUGGCUUGCUAGACCUUGAAAACAGGUGCUGCACGGCUGUCGUCAGCUCGUGUCGUGAGAUGUUGGGUUAAGUCCCGCAACGAGCGCAACCCCCUUUCUUAGUUGCUAACAGGUCAUGCUGAGAACUCUAAGGAUACUGCCUCCGUAAGGAGGAGGAAGGUGGGGACGACGUCAAGUCAUCAUGGCCCUUACGCCUAGGGCUACACACGUGCUACAAUGGGGUGCACAAAGAGAAGCAAUACUGCGAAGUGGAGCCAAUCUUCAAAACACCUCUCAGUUCGGAUUGCAGGCUGCAACUCGCCUGCAUGAAGCUGGAAUCGCUAGUAAUCGCAAAUCAGCCAUGUUGCGGUGAAUACGUUCCCGGGUCUUGUACUCACCGCCCGUCACACCAUGGGAGUUGUGUUUGCCUUAAGUCAGGAUGCUAAAUUGGCUACUGCCCACGGCACACACAGCGACUGGGGUGAAGUCGUAACAAGGUAACCGUAGGUGAACCUGCGGUUGGAUCACCUCCUUUCUAGA